AUGGCGACCGGCGCACGGGUGAGUAACACGUAUCCAACCUACCCAUGACUCGGGGAUAGCCUUUCGAAAGAAAGAUUAAUACCCGAUGGUAUAUAUUUCCUGCAUGGGGAAUAUAUUAAAGAAUUUCGGUGAUGGAUGGGGAUGCGUUCCAUUAGUUUGUUGGCGGGGUAACGGCCCACCAAGACUUCGAUGGAUAGGGGUUCUGAGAGGAAGGUCCCCCACAUUGGAACUGAGACACGGUCCAAACUCCUACGGGAGGCAGCAGUGAGGAAUAUUGGUCAAUGGACGAGAGUCUGAACCAGCCAAGUAGCGUGAAGGAUGACUGCCCUUUGGGUUGUAAACUUCUUUUAUAUGGGAAUAAAGUGGGGUAUGCAUACCCUUUUGUAUGUACCAUUAUGAAUAAGCAUCGGCUAACUCCGUGCCAGCAGCCGCGGUAAUACGGAGGAUGCGAGCGUUAUCCGGAUUUAUUGGGUUUAAAGGGAGCGUAGGUGGGCGAUUAAGUCAGUUGUGAAAGUUUGGGGCUCAACCUUAAAAUUGCAGUUGAUACUGAUUGCCUUGAGUGCGUU
rnacentral:rRNA from 1 species